AUUACUGUUGUUGUUGUUAUUAUAUUAAUUUUAAAAUUAUCCCUUUACAACUUGCAAAGCGCCUGUAAAUUUACCUUAAACCUGUUUUCUUUUCUAGCCAAUGGUGUCAGGGGCCGGUUAGCCUGUCCCUCCGGAGCAUUAACCCUUGUCGCUAGCUGCAGUGAGUGAGGAGCUGAGGUUUGGCCCUGAGGAGCUGUGUGUGUAGAUCUGGCACAGCUUUGCUCCCUUAACUCCUGGAUCUUUGUUUUGGUGGCGACCAGGGAGAGCAGGGAGCGCUGUGCUCGCAUUUCCCUCUGGCUUUUACACACGCACACACACACACACACACACAAAUCCCCCUUUCCAACUUUCUGCUUUUUGCGCUUCCCUUCCAGUUUUUUCACUUUUCAGACCUACUGGCAGCAUUUGCCGAGAUCUAGAUCCCCGUCGUGUUACAAUUUUGGCUUCCUGUUUAGAGUGAUGAUGUCCAGGCUGUUGUUUCAGAAGAUCCAGCAGCCAUGUGCCAGUGCCAGAGCAGGACACAUCUCCUAGUGCUUUGCCAGGAUUUUCCAAAUCUAAGUAAGACCAAUAAAACACCUAACAGCUUCUAAGGAAAAGAUAUUACUACUGGAAAAACCCACGAUACAAAUAUGGACACAAGUAAUUUACAAGUCAUUUCUUAGCAGUUCUACUACAGAAUAUUUGCAGGGGAGUGUUUUCAUUUCAUGAUAUUUUUCCAAAAAAACCCGAGAAUCUUAUUUUUUUCGAAUGAAAAAAGCCCUUCUUUUCUCCUCUAUGAAACAAGACACUCCCCAUCUUUCUAUUGCUCCUAUGCUGUAUAUCCGCUGAGAACGGGCUGUCAUUCUACAAACUCUCAUGUAUUUUACAGAGUCAACAUUGCUAUUCAUCUCAUGCAACUGCAGCCAAUCUUGGCUGCCAGGUGAAACACAAUGUUGAAACAGAGAAGCAGUCUCAAAGAAAUACAAGCUCUUAAACCUUGAAUGGCUUCGUGGAUCAAAAAUGCCAUUUUGAAUUACACCUGGAAAUGAAGUAGAGAGCGGCAAAGUCCCCGGAGCGCGGGUGCAACCACGGGAAGGAGGAGCGGUGCCGGAGCACAGUCCCACCCUCGCCUGCUGGGUAUUCUGCAGGUCGGCUCUGAGCGCAUCGGUUAUGAUUGGGAGCAGCUGCAAGCAGAGCCCAGUGCAGCGCUCCCAAUACGUUCCAGAUGAUGAAUAUGAUGCAGACUUACUGGAACAAAAAUAUAUUUCUGGAGAGAAAAAACAAUUACUUCUCAAAGCAAGACAAUGAAGCUGAACCGAUGCUACGUGGGCAUAAAAUAGAACAGAACUUUUGGGCAACGGCUUUAACUUCUAAUAAAUCACCCACCUGGAGAUCCUUUUGCAGAGUGAGUUUGGAGGUAUCAGAAACAAAAUAUUUUCAGAGUUACAUAAAGUUGAAAAAUUAUGUGUUUCACCCUUGAUUUCUCCUCAAAGGGACAGAUACUUUGUUGUGUCAUAACCUCCGAAUUCCACAUUAGCAGAAAGAUGCCUUUGCCACUCCAAACAACACAUGGGCUGUUCCACAGAAGUUAUGCAAAAAGGCUUGGAGACGUCACUGGAUACAGUGGGUUUCACUGGCUGAGUCUUCAGAGUGGACUUGAACGAAAUAUGCAAAAACAUGUCAAAAGUUAAGUGGUGAAAAUCAGCUUAAAUGCCUAAUUUUAAUUUUGUUUGUGCUCUUUGUUGUUUCGUUGGGGGGGGAGGGAAGGAGCUGUCUUUUUCUCCCUGUCCUUUCAUUUUUUUGGGGGAGAAAAUGGAUGUUGGUGAAAAGAAGAGAGCUCUGGCAGGGACUGGGAAGAGGUUGUUUAUUCUGCUUUGUUUUCUUUAGAAAGGGGUAACUCUCCUAAAACUCGUGAUGAUCCAGUUAAAGGGAGAUUGGGGGAGCCGAAGAGAAAAGAAAACUAAAAAUCAGCCUCUAAAGGACAAGUUUUCUCUUGAACAAAAGAGCAACAGGAGGCAGUGCAGGCAGGGGGUCGGUGCCCAGGGGUAACGUUGCCAAAACAAUGGCUGGAGAAUGUGUGUAGCUUUUGCCACUCCAGAAGCUGCUGCCCCAGUGCCUUCACUGAUGGACUGGAAGGAUCAAACCUGAUCCAGCGCUGGUCGGUGUGUGGUGCCACUUCUGGAGUGCUCCAGAGAAGAGGCAAUGAUUGACUGUGGGUAACACAAGCAAGAAUAGAAGGACUGCUGAGGAAUCCCCCCCAGUUCUGAAUGACAGGUACGAUUGAACAGCCCCAGCCAAUACAGCAGAGCCCCUGCCAGCAAAGGGGCUAAAGGUGGGGUUUAAAGUGGCUUCAAUUAAAGAUGGAGACUGCUUGGCAAUGUCUGUGCUUCUCUUGCAUUUGGUUAACUGUCUGCUGGAUAAACUGAAGCGAGAUUUUAAACUAUUACGAAUGUUCACACAGAAGUUCAUUCUGGUUUAGACUAAAUUGGUUUUAAUUUAAAUUCAUGUAACUUCUGUGUGGAUGAGGCCCAUGGCUUGCCAUUUUGCAGCAAUGGUGAAUUUAUAGCAUAUGUGCUCCAAAUGGACUAUCAUGCAAAUUCUCUUGGUAUUUGCUCCAAGUCCGGUUCCAGCUGUCGGUGGAGAUGGAGGAGCAGAAUAGGCGGCUCACAUGGCCUCCCAUGUAAUGCAGAUUGGAUCUAUUGUCAGUCAGAUGGACUGGUGGUGUGGGAGCAGUGUGAAGCCAGUUCUUUCACUACAUGGUGUGUAAAGCAAUGAGGCAGACAAAAGCUGGAUUUAAAUUAGGGAAUAUUUCUGCCAAAUUUCAUUCUCCGAAGCAGAGAAAUAAAACAUUUAAUGUGUCUGGCAACGUUUAUUCUGUGUACAAUGUUCUAGCUGAUCAUAAAAGGAAAGCUAUAUCUGAACAUUACCUAGAAACUUCAUCAUAUUCUGAGGAGAUGAGAGAGCAUGAUUCCAUCAUGAUCUGAAAAAGUGUUAGAUCUGAGAAAGUGGAUGCAGUUUGACAAGAAAUCAAGAUGACAAGAGAAAAAGGAAAAAAAAGUUUCUUUUCCAUUAGGUAGGAAUUACCAGUUACAAUCACAGCAGAAUCUUAUCUGCCACACAGGCUCCAUUUUUAAAGUCCUUGGUGUCCUCAAUGUCCUGCUCCAUGGCCAGAGGCUUCCCACUUUGACUUUUGCUGUGUGUUCAAAGGGAAGCAAGAUCGGAAUGGUUGGAAAAUGUAUGUGUUGCUCAUGCAGUAACUGCAUGUGCAUGAAAAUAAAAGAAUUUCUUGACUGUGCACAGUGGGUAUCUAUGCUGAUAAGUAGGCAAUAACUCUCAUUACAUGUAUAUUGGCCCAUUGAAAAUUUGGCCCUGAAUUCUACUGGUGAAGUUCAGCAUGUAUUUUCCAUGACUUUUCCACUGUAUCUUCUUAGAGUUUUUGUUGAAUCAUCCAUUACCUUGACAGAAAUAGAAGACAGUGUUAAAAAUAAUCCAAAGAAAAAAUUCGAGACCAUUUUUAAUUCUAAAUGAUUCAUAGAGCAAGUAUCAGCUAAUGUGAAUGAAAACAUAGUUGUACAAUCCAAGUAAGAGAAUGUCAAGAAUAACAACUUUGUAACUAGAUUUGGAAAAAUAAACAAUGCUUUCCUUUUUUUUGCAUAAUAAAUAUGAUGUGGGUAGUUAAAAAUAUAAUUUUAAAAAUGC